rnacentral:rRNA from 1 species
AUUGAACGCUGGCGGCAGGCCUAACACAUGCAAGUCGGACGGUAGCACAGAGGAGCUUGCUCCUCGGGUGACGAGUGGCGGACGGGUGAGUAAUGUCUGGGGAUCUGCCCGAUAGAGGGGGAUAACCACUGGAAACGGUGGCUAAUACCGCAUAACGUCGCAAGACCAAAGAGGGGGACCUUCGGGCCUCUCACUAUCGGAUGAACCCAGAUGGGAUUAGCUAGUCGGCGGGGUAACGGCCCACCUAGGCGACGAUCCCUAGCUGGUCUGAGGGGAUGACCAGCCACACUGGAACUGAGACACGGUCCAGACUCCUACGGGAGGCAGCAGUGGGGAAUAUUGCACAAUGGGCGCAAGCCUGAUGCAGCCAUGCCGCGUGUAUGAAGAAGGCCUUCGGGUUGUAAAGUACUUUCAGCGGGGAGGAAGGCGAUGUGGUUAAUAACCGCGUCGAUUGACGUUACCCGCAGAAGAAGCACCGGCUAACUCCGUGCCAGCCGCCGCGGUAA